GCUCACAUAGCCCAAUUGGUAGAGGCAAAGGAUUUAAAAUCCUUCCAGGUCUGGGUUCGACUCCCAGUGUGAGUACCA
rnacentral:tRNA from 1 species